UACGUAGGGUGCGAGCGUUGUCCGGAAUUAUUGGGCGUAAAGGGCUCGUAGGCGGUCUGUCGCGUCGGGAGUGAAAACUCAGGGCUUAACCCUGAGCCUGCUUCCGAUACGGGCAGACUAGAGGUAUGCAGGGGAGAACGGAAUUCCUGGUGUAGCGGUGGAAUGCGCAGAUAUCAGGAGGAACACCGGUGGCGAAGGCGGGUCUCUGGGCCGAUACUGACGCUCAUGCACGAAAGCGUGGGGAGCAAACAGG
rnacentral:rRNA from 1 species